rnacentral:rRNA from 2 species
GUAGUCAUAUGCUUGUCUCAAAGAUUAAGCCAUGCAUGUCUAAGUGUAAGCACUUUGCACCGUGAAACUGCGAAUGGCUCAUUAUAUCAGUUAUAAUUUAUUUGAUAGUGCCAAAUUACUACUUGGAUAACCGUGGUAAUUCUAGAGCUAAUACAUGCUAAAAAUCCCGACUCUCGCGGAAGGGAUGUAUUUAUUAGAUACAAAACCAAUAGCCCCUCGGGGUUUUCUUGGUGAUUCAUAAUAACUGCUCGAAUCGCACGGCCUUGCGCUGGCGAUGGUUCAUUCAAAUUUCUGCCCUAUCAACUGUCGAUGGUAGAGUAGUGGUCUACCAUGGUUGCAACGGGUAACGGGGAAU